rnacentral:rRNA from 1 species
CCUUCGGGGUACACGAGCGGCGAACGGGUGAGUAACACGUGGGUGAUCUGCCUCGCACUCUGGGAUAAGCCUGGGAAACUGGGUCUAAUACCGGAUAUGACCACGAAUCGCAUGGUUUGUGGUGGAAAGGUUUACUGGUGCGAGAUGGGCCCGCGGCCUAUCAGCUUGUUGGUGGGGUAACGGCCUACCAAGGCGACGACGGGUAGCCGGCCUGAGAGGGCGACCGGCCACACUGGGACUGAGACACGGCCCAGACUCCUACGGGAGGCAGCAGUGGGGAAUAUUGCACAAUGGGCGAAAGCCUGAUGCAGCGACGCCGCGUGAGGGAUGACGGCCUUCGGGUUGUAAACCUCUUUCGACAGGGACGAAGCGCAAGUGACGGUACCUGUAGAAGAAGCACCGGCCAACUACGUG